GCCGGCGUGGCGGAAUAGGCAGACGCAAUGGACUUAAAAUCCAUCGGGAGUUAAAUCCCGUACCGGUUCAAGUCCGGUCGCCGGCA
rnacentral:tRNA from 1 species